AAGGUGUUUAUGUGGGAAUGUAAACGAGGUGUUUAUGUGGGAAUUUAUACAAGGUGUUUAUGUGGUAAAGUAAAUGAGGUGUUUAUGUGGGAAUGUAAACAAGGUGUUUAUGUGGGAAUGUAAACAAGGUGUUUAUGUGGGAAUGUAGUUGAGGUGUUUAUGUGGGAAUAUAGACGAAGCGUUUGUGAGAAUGUAGAUGAGGUGUUUAUGUGGGAAUGUUGAUGAGGUGUUUAUGUGGGAAUGUAGACGAGGUGUUUAUGUGGAAAUGUAGACGAGGUGUUUGUGGGAAUGUAGACGAGGUGUUUAUGUGGGAAUGUUGAUGAGGUGUUUAUGUGGGAAUGUAUACGAGGUGUUUAUGUGGGAAUGUAGAUGAGGUGUUUAUGUAGGAAUGUAGACAAGGUGUUUGUGGGAACGUUGUUAAGGUGUUUCUGUGGGAAUGUAGAUGAGGUGUUUAUGUGGUAAUGUAAACAAGGUGUUUCUGUGGGAAUGUAAUCAAGGUGUUUAAGUGGACAAGGUGUUUAUGUAGGAAUGUUGUUGAGUUGUUUACUCAAAGUCUUAGAUGAAGUGUUUAUUUGGGAAUGUAGACGAGGUGUUUAUGUGGGAAUUUAAACUAGGUGUUUAUGUGGGAAUGUAGUUGAGGUGUUUAUGUGGGAAUUUAAACUAGGUGUUUAUGUGGGAAUGUAGACAAGGUGUUUAUAUGGGAAUUUUUACAAGGUGUUUAUGUGGGAAUGUAGACGAGGUGUUUAUAUGGGAAUGUAAACAAAGUGUUUAUGUGGGAACAUUGUUAAGGUCUUUAUGUGGGAAUGUAAUCAAGGUGUUUAUGUGGACAAGGUGUUUAUGUAGGAAUGUUGUUGAGUUGUUUAUGAGAAUUUAUACAAGGUGUUUAUGAGAGAAUGUAGAUGAGGUGUUUACUCAAAGUCUUACAUGAAGUGUUUAUUUGGGAAUGUAGACAAGGUGUUUAUGUGGGAAUGUAAACUAGGUGUUUAUGUGGGAAUGUAGUUGAGAUGUUCAUGUGGGAAUGUAGACAAGGUGUUUAUGUGGGAAUGUAAGCGAGGUGUUUAUGUGGUAAUGUAAUCAAGGUGUUUAUGUAGGAAUGUAGAUGAGGUGUUUACUCAAAGUCUUAGAUGAAGUGUUUAUUUGGGAAUGCAGAUGAGGUGUUUAUGUGGGAAUUCAGACAAGGUGUUUAUGUGGGAAUGUAGACGAGGUGUUUAUGUGGGAAUGUAGACGAGGUGUUUAUGUGGGAAUGUAGACGAGGUGUUUAUGUGGGAAUGUAGACAAGGUGUUUAUGUGGGAAUGUAAACAAGGUGUUUAUGUGGUAAUGUAAACAAGGUGUUUCUGUGGGAAUGUAAUCAAGGUGUUUAUGUGGACAAGGUGUUUAUGUAGGAAUGUUGUUGAGUUGUUUAUGAGAAUUUAUACAAGGUGUUUAUGAGAGAAUGUAGAUGAGGUGUUUACUCAAAGUCUUAGAUGAAGUGUUUAUUUGGGAAUGUAGACAAGGUGUUUAUGUGGGAAUUUAAACUAGGUGCUUAUGUGGGAAUGUAGACAAGGUGUUUAUAUGGGAAUUUUUGCAAGGUAUUUAUGUGGGAAUGUAGACGAGGUGUUUAUGUGGGAAUGUAGACGAGGUGUUUGUGGGAAUGUAGAUGAGGUGUUUAUGUGGUAAUUUAUACGAGGUGUUUCUGUGGGAAUGUAAUCAAUGUGUUUAUGUAGGAAUGUAGAUGAGGUGUUUACUCAAAGUCUUAGAUGAAGUGUUUAUUUGGGAAUGUAGAUGAGGUGUUUAUGUGGGAAUGUAGAUGAGGUGUUUAUGUGGGAAUGUAGACGAGGUGUUUAUGUGGGAAUGUAGAUGAGGUGUUUGUGUGGGAAUGUAGACGAGGUGUUUAUGUGGGAAUGUAGUUGAGAUGUUUAUGUGGGAAUGUAAGCGAGGUGUUUAUGUGGUAAUGUAAUCAAGGUGUUUAUGUAGGAAUGUAGAUGAGGUGUUUACUCAAAGUCUUAGAUGAAGUGUUUAUUUGGGAAUGUAGAUGAGGUGUUUAUGUGGGAAUUUAUACAAGGUGUUUAUGUGGGAAUUUAUACAAGGUGUUUAUGUGGGAAUGUAGACGAGGUGUUUAUGUGGGAAUGUAGACGAGGUGUUUAUGUGGGAAUGUAGACAAGGUGUUUGUGGGAAUGUAGAUGAGGUGUUUGUGUGAAUGUAGACGAGGUCUUUAUGUUGGAAUGUAAACAAGGUGUUCAUGUUGGGAAUGUAGAUGAGGUGUUUAUGUGGGGUUGUAGAUGAGGUGUUUAUGUGGUAAUUUAUACAAGGUGUUUCUGUGGGAAUGUAAUCAAUGCGUUUAUGUAGGAAUGUAGAUGAGGUGUUUACUCAAAGUCUUGGAUGAAGUGUUUAUUUGGGAAUGUAGAUAAGGUGUUUACUUAAAGUCUUGGAUGAAGUGUUUAUUUGGGAAUGUAGAUGAGGUGUUUAUGUGGGAAUGUAGACGAGGUGUUUAUGUGGGAAUGUAGAUGAGGUGUUUGUGUGGGAAUGUAGACGAGGUGUUUAUGUGGGAAUGUAGAUGAGGUGUUUGUGUGAAUGUAGACGAGGUGUUUAUAUGGGAAUUUUUACAAGGUGUUUAUGUGGGAAUGUAAACAAGGUGUUUGUGUUAAUGUUAACAAGGUGUUUAUGUGGACAAGGUGUUUAUGUAGGAAUGUUGUUGAGUUGUUUAUGAGAAUUUAUACAGGGUGUUUAUGAGAGAAUGUAGAUGAGGUGUUACAUGAAGUGUUUAUUUGGGAAUGUAGACGAGGUGUUUAUGUGGGAAUUUAAACUAGGUGUUUAUGUGGAAAUGUAGACAAGGUGUUUAUAUGGGACUUUAUACAAGGUGUUUAUUUGGGAAUUCAGACGAGGUGUUUGUGUGAAUGUAAACGAGGUGUUGAUGUGUGAAUGUAGAUGAGGUGUUUCUGUGGGAAUGUAAUCAAGGUGUUUAUGUGGACAAGAUGUUUAUGUAGGAAUGUUGUUGAGUUGUUUAUGAGAAUUUAUACAAGGUGUUUAUGAGAGAAUGUAGAUGAGGUGUUUACUCAAAGUCUUAGAUUAAGUGUUUAUUUGGGAAUGUAGACGAGGUGUUUAUGUGGGAAUUUAAACUAGGUGCUUAUGUGGGAAUGUAGACGAGGUGUUCAUGUGGGAAUGUAGACGAGGUGUUUAUAUGGGACUUUAUACAAGGUGUUUAUGUGGGAAUGUAAACAAGGUGUUUAUGUGGGAAUGUAGACGAGGUGUUUGUGGGAAUGUAGAUGAGGUGUUUAUCUGUGAAUGUAGAAGAGGUGUUUAUGUUGGAAUGUAAACAAGGUGUUUAUGUGUGAAUGUAAACAAGGUGUUUAUGUGGAAAUGUUGUUCAGGUGUUUAUGUGGGAAUGUAAACAAGGUGUUUAUGUAUGAAUGUAGAUGAGGUGUUUAUGUGAGAAUGUAAACGAGGCGUUUAUGUGGGAAUGUAAACAAAGUGUUUAUGUGGGAAUGUAGUUGAGGUGUUUAUGUGGGAAUGUAAACAAGGUGUUUAUGUGGGACUGUAAGCGAGGUGUUUGUGGGAACGUUGUUGAGGUGUUUAUGUGGGAAGGUAAACAAGGUGUUUCUGUGGGAAUGUAAUCAAGGUGUUUAUGUGGGACUUUAGAUGAGGUGUUUGUGUGAAUGUAAACAAAGUGUUUAUGUGGGAAUGUAGACGAGGUGUUUACGUGGGAAUUUAGACAAGGUGUUUAUGUGCGAAUGUAAACAAGGUGUUUGUGUGAAUGUAGACGAGGUGUUUAUGUGGGUAUGUAAACAAGGUGUUUGUGUGAAUGUAGACGAGGUGUUUAUGUGGGUAUGUAAACAAGGUGUUUAUGUGGGUAUGUAAACAAGGUGUUUAUGUGGGAAUGUAAAUGAGGUGUUUAUGUGGGAAUGUAGACGAGGUGUUUAUGUGGGAAUUUAAACAAGGUGUUUAUGUGGGAAUUUAGACAAGGUGUUUAUGUGGGAAUGUAAACAACGUGUUUAUGUGGAAAAGUUGUUGAGGUUUAUGUGGGAAUUAAUACACAGUGUUUAUGUGGGAAUGUAAACAAGGUGUUUGUGUGAAUGUAGACAAGGUGUUUAUGUGCGAAUGUAAACAAGGUGUUUAUGUGUGAAUGUAGAUGUGGUGUUUAUGUGGGAAUGUAAACGAGGUGUUUAUGUGGGAAUGUAAAUGAGGUGUUUAUGUGGGAAUGUAGACGAGGUGUUGAUGUGGGAAUGUAAACAAAGUGUUUAUGUGGGAAUUUAGACGAGGUGUUUAUGUGGGAAUGUAAACAAGGUGUUUAUGUGGGAAUGUAAACGAGGUGUUUAUGUGGGAAUGUAAACAACGUGUUUAUGUGGGAAUGUAAAUGAGGUGUUUAUGUGGGAAUGUAGACGAGGUGUUGAUGUGGGAAUGUAAACAAAGUGUUUAUGUGGGAAUUUAGACGAGGUGUUUAUGUGGGAAUGUAAACAAGGUGUUUAUGUGGGAAUGUAAACGAGGUGUUUAUGUGGGAAUGUAAACAACGUGUUUAUGUGGGAAUGUAAACGAGGUGGUUAUGUGGGAAUGUAGACGAGGCGUUUAUGUGGGAAUGUAAACAAGAUGUUUAUGUGGGAAUGUAAAUGAGGUGUUUAUGUGGGAAUGUAGACGAGGUGUUGAUGUGGGAAUGUAAACAAAGUGUUUAUGUGGGAAUGUAGACGAGGUGUUUAUGUGGGAAUGUAAACAAGGUGUUUAUGUGGGAAUGUAAAUGAGGUGUUUAUGUGUGAAUGUAGACGAGGUGUUGAUGUGGGAAUGUAAACAAAGUGUUUAUGUGGGAAUUUAGACGAGGUGUUUAUGUGGGAAUGUAAACAAGGUGUUUAUGUGGGAAUGUAAAUGAGGUGUUUAUGUGGGAAUAUAAACAAGGUGUUUAUGUGGAACUGUUGUUGAGGUGUUUAUGUGGGAAUUAAUACACAGUGUUUAUGUGGGUAUUUAGAAUCGUCUGUGAGUCUGAUUUCUGUGCUCUUUCAGUGAUGGAAGUUCUCAGCUGUAGAGGUUAUAUAUAAAAAGCUUUUUCCUUACAGCGUUCUGCAUAUUGCUGCAGUGUAUCGAGAGGAAUUAACAGAAAUAUAUUUCACGGUUUGGAUUUUGAAGAGAAAAAUCAGAUCCAUGACCAGAUUAGCUUGAAUACUCGACUGAACAUUGUUUUAUUUAUUUAUUUAUUUAUAGAUCAUUGUUUUGUUUUUUAUUUUAGAGAUGCUGGAGACACUGUGGUGAUGGCUUUGUAAGUUUUUCAGCUCUUGUCCAUGAAUUUAUGUACAAUUUCCGAAUUUUCCAAAUGUAUGGAUCCUUGUAAAAUGGAAUUUUUUAAGUGUUUUCUCUUUCUCAGCACAAGUGGAGUUUAGACGUCAGAUCAUUUUACUGCUUUUACACCCUGUGUUCGUUACACUUAAUAUUGCAGUAAAACAUUCAAGGAUAAAACAUCCUGAAAAUAACGGUCUUUAAGACUCCAGAACGUCCAUGUUAACAGCAUGUUUUCCAGAGCCACUCGACACUUUCAGCUUCUUUUUCUUACAGAAAAUGUAAAUUCGUUUCUGUAGAUAUUCUGUUUACUCAAAUUUACAUUCUUUGUUUAUUUGUAAAUAUGUUUAUAACCACCUUUUAUAACAACGUCUUGGUGUUCGGUGUGUGAUCUGUGUGUUUCUCACUAAAACCUGAAUAAGUGUCAUAUUAUCUGAAUCAAGUGAAUUAAAGUGUUAAGUGAGAUUAAGUCUAUCACUAAAACCCAAUAAACUCUGAUUAUAAGGUCUUGUGUGUCCUGUUUAUGUCAGUAAAGUGUAAUUCACACAUUAUUUUAGCUUGAUUGGUCAGUAAAAGUGUUCAUUCUGUGUCAUUACAGCGUAAUAAACGCUAACGAAAGUGUUACUUGAGGUGUUUCUGUCACUAAACGUUGUAAUAAGCAAUAAUAAACACCUUUAUUUGGUCUUUAUCUCAUCAAAAGGCAUGAAAUAAUGAUAGCUAAUGUUUUCUUUUGUCCUUGAAACAGCAAUGAACAUCAUAAAAAGUGUCAUAUUUGUUCUCUGUAUGUCAUUACAAUGUAAUAAACAUGUAUAACUAUGUAAUAUAUUUGGAUGAAGCAUCAUAAAGCAUUUUAUUUGUUUUGUAUGUGUCAGAAAAACUGCUUUAUUUGUUUUCUAUAUGUAACUAAAGCUUAAUAAACAUUAAUAACACUGUUUAUUACGAACAUCUUUCUUCCUUAUGUGUCGUUACAGUGUAAUAAAGAGUAUUUGUUUCUAUGGUGUCAUGAAAAAUGUAAUAAACGUUCAUUAUUAUUAGUUGAAUGAGUGUGACUUUCUCACUAAAGUGUUAUAAACAUUCAUAAACGUGUUAAGUAAGAUCUUAUUUCUUCUGUAUGUGUCAUGAUGUCAUAAUAACAACGGUAUAAAGCGUUCAUUAAGGCUUCCUUUGUCCUAUGCUUGUCAUUAAAUCACAAUAAAAGUCUUGAAGUUUGAAUUUGUUCUUUAUAAAUGUUAACAACU